rnacentral:rRNA from 1 species
AUUGAACGCUGGCGGCAUGCUUUACACAUGCAAGUCGAACGGGGUGGGGGGCAACCCUAAUUCAGUGGCGAACGGGUGAGUAAUGCAUCGGAACGUACUCCGGAGUGGGGGAUACUGCCGCGAAAGCGGCGCUAAUACCGCAUAUGCUCUGAGGCGGAAAGUGGGGGACCGCAAGGCCUCACGCUCUGGGACGGGCCGAUGUCCGAUUAGCGAGUUGGUGGGGUAAUGGGCCACCAAGGCGACGAUCGGUAGCUGGUCUGGGAGGAUGAUCAGCCACACUGGGACUGAGACAAAUCCCAGACUCCUACGGGAGGCAGCAGUGGGGAAUUUUGGACAAUGGGGGCAACCCUGAUCCAGCCAUGCCGCGUGCGGGAAGAAGGCCUUCGGGUUGUAAACCGCUUUUAGUCGGGAAGAAAAGGCAUCUCCUAAUACGGGGUGUUCUUGACGGUACCGGCGGAAUAAGCACCGGCUAACUACGUGCCAGCCGCCGCCGUAAAAC